CCUACGGGAGGCAGCAGUGAGGAAUAUUGGUCAAUGGGCGGAAGCCUGAACCAGCCAAGUAGCGUGCGGGAUGAAGGCCCAACGGGUCGUAAACCGCUUUUGCUGGGGGAUAAAACCCUCCACUUGUGGAGGUCUGCGGGUACCGUGCGAAUAAGCGCCGGCUAAUUCCGUGCCAGCAGCCGCGGUAAUACGGAAGGCCCGAGCGUUAUCCGGAUUCAUUGGGUUUAAAGGGAGCGUAGGCGGGCGUUCAAGUCAGCGGUAAAAUCGCGCGGCUCAACCGCGCCCCGCAGUUGAAACUGGGGGCCUUGAGUGCACAACAGGCAGGCGGAAUUCGUGGUGUAGCGGUGAAAUGCAUAGAUAUCGCGAGGAACCCCGAUUGCGAAGGCAGCCUGCCGGGGUGCGACUGACGCUGAGGCUCGAAGGUGCGGGGAUCAAACAGGAUUAGAUACCCGUGUAGUC
rnacentral:rRNA from 1 species